CGGUAGAACAUGCGCUUGCAUUAUUAUAUGUAGGGGUCGGGGUUCGAACCUCAGACACCCCAUUUAUUCACUUUCUUAUAAGGUGAAUUCUAACCAUUAAAUUUAUCGUCGACACAAGGGCUAACUAAUCUAGGGAAAAAAAUUCAAUGUCCACUUGUAGAGACCUCAUUAAAUUCAUGGUUUUUUCUAGAUUACCUUUGAAGAAUGGUGAGUAAUUUACCCACCAACCAAUGAAAAUGAGCAAUUUGUUGGUGGGGUCAAGAUAGAUAAUUCAUGGAUACCACUUAAAAAUGUGCUUACGUGGCUAAUGUAUAUUGGUUGGGGUAAAUUACCCACCAUUCUUCCAUAGGUACCCUAGUUGUCACAUAAAUUCAUAUUUGAGUUAUCCCACAUAAAAUAGUACUAUAGGAGGGUUUCAAACCUUUUUACAACUUUAUUCCAUUUUAUUGUUUUAUUAUAGAAUACAAACCAUAAGUGUUUGUGAAAUUAAGAAAAAUAAUUAAAUAAUAUCUCUAAUAUCCUGUGCCAGUAGAAUAACCAGAUAAACUUUAUGGCAUUAUUCUAACACAUUUGCAUUGGUCAACGCACCUCACAAUUUCAGGAUAAUGGCACAUGCUUCUUGGACAAUCGGUAUCAAUAAAACAAUAUUUAAUAUUUCCUGUAAUGAAGGGGAAAAAAGAAGAAUACAAGAGCGUUACUAAAUUUUGAUAAAUGAUUAUGUACAAGUAAAGAAAGAAAUUUGAAAAGGGUAAAAAAAAAUGGCUUACUGUAACCAUUCGUUGAUACAAGAUGUAAGAAAAUAAAGAGAAGUAUAGAAUAAAUAAAUUUUAGAAUUGCAACCA
rnacentral:lncRNA from 1 species